AAUGAACGCUGGCAACAGGCUUAACACAUGCAAGUGAAACUUGUUAAUAUUUUUUUAUUAGUAAGUCGCAAACGGGUGAGUAACACGUGAGAAUCUACCUACUAGCCCGGUAUAAAAACUGUCUUGCAAUCAAGGCAGCUAAUCCCGGAUAAGAGAAAGGUAAAAUCCGCUAGUCGAUGAGCUCGCGCAAGAUUAGGUAGUUGGUAAGUUAAAAGCUCUACCAAGCCAAAGAUCUUUAGCCGAUCUGAGAGGAUGGUCGGCCACACUGGGACUGAGACACGGCCCAGACACUUUUAAGUGGCAGCAGUGAGGAAUCUUGGACAAUGAACGAAAGUUUGAUCCAGCCAUGUUGCAUGAGGGAAGAAGGCUCUUUUGGUUGUAAACCUUUUAUUUAAGAGAGGAUAAUGACGUACUCUUAAAAAAUAGUCCCGGCUAAUUCUGUGCCAGCCGCCGCGGUAAAAC
rnacentral:rRNA from 1 species